rnacentral:rRNA from 1 species
UACGUAGGGGGCAAGCGUUGUCCGGAUCUAUUGGGCGUAAAGAGCGUGUAGGCGGCCAGUUAGGUCCGUUGUGAAAACUCGAGGCUCAACCUCGAGACGCCGAUGGAAACCAACUGGCUAGAGUCCGGAAGAGGAGAGUGGAAUUCCCGGUGUAGCGGUGAAAUGCGCAGAUAUCGGGAAGAACACCCGUGGCUAAGGCGGCUCUCUAGUACGGUACUGACGCUGAGACGCGAAAGCGUGGGGAUCAAACAGG